AACGAACGCUGGCGGCAUGCCUAACACAUGCAAGUCGAACGAGACCUUCGGGUCUAGUUGCGCACGGGUGCGUAACGCGUGGGAACCUGCCCUUAGGUUCGGAAUAACUCCCCGUAAGGGGUGCUAAUACCGGUUAAUGUCUUCGGACCAAAGAUGUAUCGCCUUUGGAUGGGCCCGCUUUGGUUUCGCUAGUUGGUAGGGUAAAAGCCUACCAAGGCGACGAUCCAUGGCUGGUCUGAGAGGAUGAUCAGCCAGACUGGGAAUGAGACACGGCCCAGACUCCUACGGGAGGCAGCAGUGGGGAAUAUUGGACGAUGGGCGCAAGCCUGAUCCAGCAAUGCCGCGUGAGUGAUGCAGGCCGUAGGGUUGUAAAGCUCUUUUACCCGGGAUGAGAAUGGCAGUACCGGGAGAAUAAGCACCGGCUAACUACGUG
rnacentral:rRNA from 1 species